rnacentral:lncRNA from 1 species
AUAAAUAAAUAUGUAAAAAAAAAAAGAAAAAAGCUAAAACAACAGCAAUGAUAGAUAAGAAAAUUUGUAAAAGACCAGCUGCGUAUAGAAGAAACAUGAAAGAAUGUGUCUAUUAUGACGUGGUUUUCAUCAACUCCUAAUCAAAAAUAUAAUAAAAGAAAAAGAAACAGUACCACAUCCAGCAUGUCACCAUUUAAGACAACCAAUUCCCAGAUGACUAGAAAAAAUGUAUCUCUGAACUGGGUGGAAAGGCAUAAUUCUUAAAUCCAGAGGGAAAUUAAACCACAAAGUUUAAACAAAACAGCACGAAAAAAUCAAUAACUCACAAAAUAAAAAAUAAUAAUUUAGUUUUCAGCUUUCUCUUUUUAAAAAAUUCUAUUUUCAGAUCACCAACAGUGGUUUAAGAUGCUACCAAGUCUUUAAGCUCUAUUUGGUAGGGAAAUACCUCUGCUAUUUCUAAAGGUAAAUAGGGGGUUUUGCAUUUAAUUUACAAUAUGGAAUACUGCAGAAUAACCUCAUGCCAAAAUGGCACAUUUCUGAGGGAUGCAAAGGUAUUCAAUAAAAAGCUUUUAAAGGCAUAUUUUUAAACUUGCAGCAGGAAAGCUUUUCUGUGUCAAGACAGUAAUUCUUUUAACAGCAUUGAUCAAAAUGUCAUUCUUUUAUGAGUGUACAAUACCUUUUAAUGGCAUACAACAAGCCAUUAGGGUUAUACACCUCUGUAUAGCAGACAGCUUACUGGAAAAAAGCGAACACUGGCCAAGACAGAGUCAGUAGGUUUUAUGCUUCUAAUAAGGAACAUUUUUCCCCCUAGCUGAUUCAUUCUAAAGUCCACAACUGAAAUUAUCCAAAGAUUAAGUGUAAGCUCUCUUCACUUCGGUAAUUUAGAAGCACUUUCACAGAGGCUUAAACUGCAAGGUCUAAACUCUACCUUUGUGGAUACCAUAAGAUGGCCUUGAAAACAGCCUCUCACCCAGGGCCAGUAAGAAAUUAUUCAUGAAGAUUAGGAAAGAAAUGACGGUUUUAGUACCUUUUCUACUUUCUGAGGAAAGAAGAAAGUGAAUUGAAAAACAUAUUACAAGAUGAUCACUUUUCGUAUUCAUUUACAAAACUAAAUACUAAAGGAACAUUAAAGUUCUAUAUUAUUCUAACAUAAAACAUCUCUGUCACCUAAUAUUGAUUAGGUAAUCUUUCAUAAAAGGAAACUAUUUUAAAGUAAUCUCAAAACAAGUCCUUGUCUUUGAGGUACUCACACCUUAAAAGAUAUAAAGUAAAUUCUGAAAUUAUUUAGAAGAAGUAAUCCAAUGAAUAUACAAACUGACAAAAAAAUUCCACCAAUUUACCAAAUUCUAAUCACUCAGGAAAUGGGAAACUAAGCAGUGCAAUAAAAAAUAGAAGGUGAGUACCCCUGCUUUUCUUGUUACACCUUUACUUAUUGUUCACUACUAAAAGAAAUGCGACUUAAAUACAAAUAAAUUAUUCUAAUUACAGAAAUAUCCCAAAUAAAUUGAUUGUAGCCUAAAUCUCUGCCUUCUGAAAAUGAUUUCAGGGUUCGUAGAACUGAAAAAUGUUACAAAUAGUAGAGAAUUCUGAAUCAAAAGUAAAACUCAACUUUAGGGAAAACACUAGAUGCAUUUCAAAACCUUUUCUCUAAAAGCAAAGUUUAAAAAGUAGAAUUUGUCUCCUUUUAAAGGUAGGUAUGCGUGUGUAGUAGAAAGAAAAUGAUAAGUUUAAAAGAAAGGUGUUAUGAAUGGCUCUCCAAAUUAUGUAAUAAAACAGAAAGUUCUGUUUCAGGCAAUGUAGAAAACCAAAGCAUUUGUACCAAUUUCAUAACUAACAACAACUAAAAAUGCAAGGCAAAAUACAAAAACAUCUUGACAGGAUCCAAGAGUUGAGAAGAAACUACCAAUCCAAAAUUGAAGUGAAAGUGCAAACUCAGAGAUGGUAAGGAGUGCUGAAUCUGUCUUUGCCCUGAGGAUAUUUGGUCAGCCAUUCUGACAAGAUCUUUAGACUUACAGAUCUUAUUUCAAAUGAAGAACAGAAAACAAAAAUAGGGCCAGGCAUGGUGGCUCACGCCUGUAAUCCUAGCACUUUCGGAAGCUGAGGUGGGCGGAUCAUCUGAGGUCAGGAGUUCAAGACCAGCCUGGCCAACAUGGUGAAACCUCGUCUCUACUAAAAAUACAAAAAUUAGCCAAGUGUGGUGGUGGGUGCCUGUAAUCCCAGCUAAUUGGGAGGCUGAGACAGGAGAAUUGCUUGAACAUGGGAGGCAGAAGCUGCAGUGAGCCGAGAUGGCAGCACUGCACUCCAGCCUGGGUGACACAGUGAGACUUCAUCUCAAAAAAUUAAAUAAAUAAAUAAAUAAAAUAAAAAUUAAAAAAUAAACGCCACCUAAAAGUCUAACAGGACACUCUCCUCCCCCAAAAAUUAAAUAAAUAAAUAAAAUAAAAAUUUAAAAAUAACCACCACCUAAGAGUCUAACAGGAGACUCUCCUCCCAGGAAGCUGAGACAUCAAAGAGUUAUCCCCUCAACGUAAAGGUGAUGAGAAGUCUGGACCUAGGGGACUAAAAGAAAAGUUGCUUUGAUGAUAAGCAAAGCAGGGGAAAACAAAAAACCACAAGAACUCGUAACCGCAAAUGGGCUCUCAGAGAUACAAUCUAAAUUCACAUCACAAAAAUAAGUACCGCCCCCCAAAUAAAUAAACACAGAGUGGUGCCCAAGUGGUAGUGUUCCUGGGUGCCAGACUGUAGCAGACAUGAAUGUCAUCUGGUAGAACAAACUAUUAAAUACAGUAAACAAGAAAACAUGCCACCACGCCCAGCCUCAAACUUUUAAACGAAGUUCAAAAUCAAGCAAAACUAAUUGAUAUUGAUAACAAUGAGAACUGUGGUAACCUCUGGGAAGACAAAGGGUGGUCUGGGAAUGAACACAGGGACUUUUAUGGGCUGCUGGAAAUGUUCUCUAUCUUAAUCUGGAUCUAUCC